CCUACGGGGGGCAGCAGUGGGGAAUAUUGGACAAUGGGGGGAACCCUGAUCCAGCCAUGCCGCGUGUGUGAAGAAGGCCCUCGGGUUGUAAAGCACUUUCAGUGAGGAAGAACGCCUGGUGGUUCAUACCCAUCAGGAAAGACAUCACUCACAGAAGAAGCACCGGCCAACUCCGUGCCAGCAGCCGCGGUAAUACGGAGGGUGCGAGCGUUAAUCGGAAUUACUGGGCGUAAAGCGCGCGUAGGUGGCUUGAUAAGCCGGUUGUGAAAGCCCCGGGCUCAACCUGGGAACGGCAUCCGGAACUGUCAAGCUAGAGUGCAGGAGAGGAAGGUAGAAUUCCCGGUGUAGCGGUGAAAUGCGUAGAGAUCGGGAGGAAUACCAGUGGCGAAGGCGGCCUUCUGGACUGACACUGACGCUGAGGUGCGAAAGCGUGGGUAGCAAACAGGAUUAGAUACCCCAGUAGUC
rnacentral:rRNA from 1 species